rnacentral:rRNA from 1 species
UACGAAGGGGGCUAGCGUUGUUCGGAAUUACUGGGCGUAAAGCGCACGUAGGCGGAUAUUUAAGUCAGGGGUGAAAUCCCGGGGCUCAACCCCGGAACUGCCUUUGAUACUGGGUAUCUCGAGUCCGAGAGAGGUGAGUGGAAUUCCGAGUGUAGAGGUGAAAUGCGCAGAUAUCAGGAAGAACACCCGUGGCGAAGGCGGCUCUCUGGGACGGUACUGACGCUGAGACGCGAAAGCGUGGGGAGCAAACAGG